GGGUAUCCACCAUGAUCAAUCUUAAAUCUUUCUUCUUGUUGUAGAUUCAUCUUCUUCAAGAUGAAACCCAACCUUUUGGAUCCUUGAUUAAUAGUUGAUAUUCCUUUACGAUCUCAACACUUGAAUCGCAGUCUUUUUCCUUUUUCUUGACGUAAAUGGGAUUACCCAACCACCUUGGGCAUGUGGAGAUGUGGGAUGCCCAACCUUUGGGUGUUGGAUAGAGAGGAGAAGGAGAGGAGGGCAUGGAGAUAUGGAGAGGCUCUAGAUCUGAAUUCUUAAUACAGUCCAAAAUCCUAAGGGAGCGCCUCUUAAAUAAAUUUCUUAUUGGAGUCCAAAUCAAACUCCAAUCAAGGUUAAGAGGCAAGUCCUUAUCACAUAAGGACUCUUUCCUCCCUUUGCUGAUUUUCUUCCAAAGAAAACCAACCCAAAAGGAAAGGGAUCAUGCCCAAAUAGGAAAGC
rnacentral:lncRNA from 1 species